rnacentral:lncRNA from 1 species
AAAUCACUGUCAGAAGCAGAAGUAGUGACAACUGCAGGCUCUUGAUACCGAAUUCUGCCUCUGGACCACUUUGAACUUAACAGUGAAGCAUCGGAUUGUUCUUUGUGUUCCAAUCUACUGGUCUGCUUGAGUUUCUACUUGCCUGACCCCAACAAUGAAGUUAAACUUCAUCGUGGAGGCCAAUCAAGGCAGGAACUCAAGGCAGGAACCUGAAAGCAGAAACUGAAGCAGAAGACUUGGAGGAGCACUGGUUACUGGCUUGCUCAGCCUGCUUCUUAUACCAUCCAGGACCAACUGCCCAGGGCCAGCACCACCAACAGUGAAAUCUGAUGGGUGCAUUUUCCCAAUCAAAGCUCCCUCUUUUUAGAUGACUCUUGCUUGUGUCAAGUUGGCAACAAGACAAACAAAAACCAACGAAUACAAUUGAACCAUUGUCAUUUGUCACAUAAGUAUCUCACUACUAAACCACAAACUUUUCUUUCUUAUUGGUCUGUAAGAAGUCAU